rnacentral:tRNA from 1 species
GGUAGAUUGCCUGAGUCGGAUUAAGGGAGUUCACUGCUAAUGAACCGGUCGCUCAAAAGGCGGCCCGUGGGUUCAAAUCCCACAUCUACCU